ACAAACAGUCAGCAGACAGACAAGAUCACUUCAGAUCAAAGCCCAGGGGAAAAGGAAUCUGACAUCUCUGGCAUGAAGGUGAGGUGGCAUGGGGUGGCUGACGAGCUCCAACAUCUUUCACCUGUGGCAGCCAAGUAGAGAAACACAAAGAGAGAGGGCUUUCUCAUGAAGAGAGCCCUAGAGGUCAGUGACCGUAACAGUAGACAACUAAAUGUGACCCAAAUAUUUUACAGGGUAAACUUCACAAAGUCAUUGUGCACAUCUAAUUCUGAAUGUCUAACCCUGAUCAGAGUUGGGUGCUAUGUUUGUAAUGGAUGUUCCCAUUAUUUCCAUUCCAUUCAUGAAUGUAACUUGCAAAAAAAUCAUAUUGAUACAAAUUAUGAUUUGAGCCAGUACAUUCAUAAUUUCUUCCUCUAUUCAAUCUAUAUGAACAAUUACAUCUAUGUUAUAUUUAUAUUACUUUUUAGCUUUUGGACAGAUUUUAACAAAGACAACAAGGUGUUUUUUUUUUUUGUUUUUUUUUUUUUGGUCGCUGUGAGCAGCUGAUUAGCAUCUCAAAAGUUUAAAUUAUAUCGGGGCUACAGCCCAAAGCUCAUGCAAGUUGAAAAGGAGGCAACAUUUAUGCUGAGUCUGAGUAUUGGGCUCCAGGUUAUGGGGAUUAGUUUGGUUUCCUUUUCAGUUCUUCGCCACUCCGCCAGAGGGAGCCAUUGGAUCACUCUGCUGGGGAGGGCGUGCCUGCAGGCCCUCUCAACUAUCCACACCUGAGAGGAAUCAUCAUCCAGAGGAGUAUAUGAGCAGCAGACAGCCAACACUUUGCCAGAAUGUUUGCCAGUUUUUGGAAUCCUUCAAGGCCCUUGGGGUUGGUUUCCUCUAGUCCACCGGUCCUGAAAGAAACCUUUCCGUGACGCCUCUGCUGUCUGCUUUGCUGCUCCUCUGUGGUGACAUAUCUGACCAGCCCACCCUCCUAUGCCUGGUCCAUCUCCAGCCAGCCUACGUCAGCUCUCUCCCCAAUCUGGAACCACGUACCUCCACCCGUCAUCCUCCGUUUGUUUUUCAAGUAAGAACAGAGCUCUCGGCCAUUAGUUAUCUCCUUUUUCCACCCCCUGUGAAGCCAUCUUAACCUCUCUCUUCCCUUCUGUGCCGACGCACCUGGACUCCGACCCGCUGAUCCUCCUAACCGUGUUUCUUUGUUUGAUUUUGUAUUGUUGCAAUAAAUAUCCUCUUUUACAUCCAUCUCUCCGUGAGUGUUUCUGCAUGUGGGCAAAAAGCAUUAGACCCAUCAUGACAGAACACUCUGGCCAAACUGAAGACCCAGCAGACAAUCCUUAGAGCUCUCCACCAACAACAAUCUUCUAUUCGAAGCAUGAGGCCGCUUUACAAGAACUGGGUAACCGACAAGUCGAAACCAAAAGUCGCCUGGCUGAACUAACCGAUUUUCUCCGCUCACAUUUUCAACAGACUCCUGAUCCUGUCGGAGAACCCUCCCAGCCUUCAACUCCAGAUCCUGAUCCUCCAGUCCAGUCCGCGUUUUCUGACUGUCUGUUGCCUAAUCCACCCAGGUUUGACGGAGAUCCAAAGAAAUGCAGGGGUUUCUUAAUGCAAUGUACAAUUCAGUUCAAUCACUCUCCCCAUAGAUUCAUUCAUGACUCCGCUAAGAUUUCAUACAUUAUUGCACACUUAUCAGACCGCGCUUUGGAUUGGGCAGAGGUUAAAUUCUCUUCAUCCCCCGACUACAAUUGCACUUUUUCGGAAUUCAUAACUGAGUUAAAACAAACUUUCAAUCAGGAUACAGAUAAGGCUCUCAGGUCCUGAGACCUGUUAAAGAUAAGACAAGGACAACGGUCGGUAGCUGAUUUUUCGAUUGAUUUUUGCAUUCAAGCGGCUGCUUCUGGAUGGAACAGUGUUGCGCUCAAAAGUGCAUUCCUAAACGCUUUAAACGAUCCCAUUAAGGACAAAUUAGCAACAUUAGAUGAACCCGAAUCUCUGGAGGACUUAAUAAAAUUGUCCAUACGGUUAGAUAAUAGGAUUCGAGCCCGAACUAAAGAAAGAUGCAAUAGAAAUCCUCCAUCCAGACCUCUUCCAGUCAUUAGCCGCACAAUCCUGGCUGAGCCCUCACUGAAUUUAUCCAGCCCCGAACCCAUGCAAAUUGGACACACAAAAUUGUCUCAAGCAGAGAGGCAGCGCAAAAUGCGUUCUAAGUUGUGCCUCUACUGUUGCGAAGCCAGUCAUUUUGUCUCCCUCUGUCCACUGCUGUUAAAAGCCAUUGUCCGCCAGUAAAGGCAAGGGAGCUUGGCGGACCAUCAAAUAACCAUAAAUUCACCUCGUCUACUGUUACCUGCUUCUCUACUAGUUAACAAUAAAUCCAUUCCAGUAUCCGCCUUGCUAGACUUGGGAUGUAAACAUAAUCUUUUGGAUUCAUGUCUUGUCCAGCAGAUGGGAAUAAAGACAUCUGCUGGACCUGCUCCCCUUCGUGUUUUAGCCCUUGACGGCAAGAUACUGCCACAGAUUACUCACCAGUCCCAACCCAUCCCACUAACCGUCUUAGGCAACCAUAAUGAGUGCAUCUCAUUUUAUGUUUUUCCAACUGCAAGUUCCCCGUUGAUUUUAGGAUUUGAAUGGUUGCAACAGCACAACCCCAAUAUUAAUGGGGUUCAUCGACACAUUGACUCAUAGUCAUUAACCUGCCAUUCAUCUUGUCUCCGCUCUGCUGUUCCGCCAGGCCCACCACCGGCAGACAAUUAUGAAGCUGACCCACCAUAUCUCUCUUCAGACUCUGCUGAAUAUCACGACUUGGCUCAAGUAUUCAGUAAAUCUAAAGCCUCGUCCCUGCCUCCCCACAAACCAUAUGACUGUGCUAUAUCUGCUACCUGGGGCUCCUUUGCCCAACAGUCGACUCUACAACAUCUCCAAACCUGAAAGGGAGACCAUGGAAAAAUACAUACAGGAGUCAUUAGCGGCUGGCAUAAUCUGCCAUUCCUCCUCCCCUUUAUGGGCUGGUUUUUUCUUUGUAGCGAAGAAAGAUGGAUCUUUAAGACCCUGCAUCAACUUCAGAGGGCUGAACCAAAUCACAGUUAAAAACAAAUACGCCCUGCCACUCCUCUCCUCUGCCUUUGAGCCAGUUCAAGGGGCCAAGGUGUUGACUAAACUAGAUCUUAGAAACGCCUAUCACUUACUCCUCAUCAGAGAAGGGGGUGAGUGGAAGACGGCCUUUAAGACUCCAUUAGGCCACUUUGAGUAUUUAGUCAUGCCCUUCGGUUUAACUAACGCACCUGCGUGCUUUCAGGCUCUCAUGAAUGACGUCCUAAGGGACUUUCUUAAUGUGUUUGUCUAUCUCGAUGACAUUUUGAUUUUUUUCUAAGAAUCUACUUGAGCACAGGAACCAUGUCAGUCAAGUGUUGCAGCGCCUCCUGGGGAAUAAGUUGUUUGUGAAAGUGGAGAAAUGUGAGUUUCACCAACCAUCAGUCUCCUUCCUGGGUUACGUCCUCGAGGGUGGACAGGUCAGACCAGCAGAGGAAAAAAUCAAGGCAGUUUUAGAUCGGCCCACUCCUACUACCCGAAAACGACUCCAAAGAUUUCUUGGGUUCACCAAUUUCUACCGAUGAUUUAUUCGUAAUUAUAGCCAAACUGCCCUACCCUUAACUGCUCUAACCUCAACCAAGACUCCAUUCAGCUGGACCCCUGCAGCUAAUGAAGCCUUUUCCAGGUUAAAGUACCUUUUUGCUAACGCGCCCGUUCUCAUCCAACCUGACCCCACCAAACAGUUCAUUGUCGAGGUGGAUGCUUCAGAUUCAGGAGUAGGGGCCGUUCUCUCUCAACUCUCAGAAAGUGAUCACAAGAUUCACCCAUGUGCCUUUUUCUCCCGCAGACUGUCCCCAGCAGAGAGAAAUUAUGAUGUUGGGGAUCGUGAACUACUUGCCAUCAAAUUACCAUUAGAGGAGUAGCAACAUUGGCUCAAGGGCGCAGUUCUCCCCAUCGUUGUUUGGACGGACCAUAAAAAUCUAGCUUAUCUCCAGUCAGCUAGAAGACUCAAUCCUCGUCAGUCACGUUGGUCAUUAUUCUUCUCUCGGUUUAACUUAUCCAUUUCUUUCCGCCCAGGAUCCUGUAACGUGAAGCCAGAUGCCCUAUCCAGACUUUACUCCCCAGAUGACUCUGAGAAGGAGCCUGCCCCCAUUCUACCUCCUAGUUGUUCGGUUGCUACGGUGACCUGGUAAAUUGAAGAUCUUGUUAAACAAGCACAACAGUCUGAGCCUUAUCCAGGGUCCGGCCCCUCCAACAAGAUGUACGUACCCACAGCUAUUCGUGCCUUUGUCAUAAGUUGGUUACAUUCUUCAAAGUUUUCUGCUCAUCCAGGCAUCAGUCGAACCGUAGCUUUAGUUAAUCGAGGUUUUGGUGGCCGUCCAUCCAAAAGGACGUUAAAGAUUAUGUCUCCGCCUGUCCCAUUUGUGCUCGGAAUAAGUCCUCCCAUCAGCCUCCUUCUGGACUUCUUCAACCCUUACCUACUCCCAAACGGCCCUGGUCGCAUAUUGCUGUUGAUUUUGUCACCGGACUGUCUGUCUCCAAAGGUAUGACCACUAUAUUGACUAUCAUUGAUAUAUUUUCUAAAGCUUGCCACCUAGAGGUUUUGAGAACUUCCUUCGGCUUUUCAAACAGCUCAACUCCUACCCUAAGAAUGUGUUUAGAUUACAUGGUAUACCUCUGGACAUCCUCUCUGACCGAGGGCCACAGUUCACUGCUCAAGUUUGGAGAAAUUUUUGUCGUGCUCUUGUAGCAAAGGUGUCACUCACCUCUGGUUAUCACCCACAGUCUAAUGGUCAAGUCAAACGAAUGAACCAGGAGUUGGAGGCCACCCUCAGAUGUCUGACCACCACCAAUCCGUCUGACUGGAACACUUGCCUCCCCUGGGUGGAGUAUGCGCAUAACUCUCACGUGUCCUCUGCCACUGGGUUGUCCCCUUUCGAGGUCCCUUUAGGCUAUCAACCCCCACUGUUCCCGGCUGACGAAAAGGACAUCUCAGUCACCUCCGUCCAGCACCACAUUCGACGGUGUAAGGUCAUCUGGAACAAGACUAUCGCAGCCCUUAACCGCACCGCUGAACAAAAUCGUCGUUGGGCUGAUUGUAAGAGGGAGGGCUGCCCCUACGUUUGUUCCUGGUCAAAGAGUUUGGCUUUCCACAAGAGACAUCCCAUUGAAAUCAAUGUCCAAAAAGUUAUCCCCUCGUUUCAUUGGGCCUUAUGAAAUUGACCGCAUUGUUGGCCCAUCGGCGAUUCAUCUGCGACUGCCAUCUUCACUUCGUGUCCACUCCACGUGGUUAAACCGGUCCAUUCCACUCCCUUGUGCCCCACGGGUGAGCCCCCUCCCACCCUGGACAUUGAUGGUCACCCGGCUUACUCGGUCUGCCGGAUUGUUGAUUCUCGGAGGCGUGGGCGGGGUUGGCAAUACCUGGUGGACUGGGAGGGUUAUGGUCCCGAGGACCGUUUAUGGGUGCCGGGCUCGUUUAUUUUGGAUCCAUCCCUUAUUUCUGAUUUCUGUUCAUCCCAGUCCCCUGGCUCUUCUGGACCGCCAGGUGGCGGUCAUUGAGGGUCGGGUAGUGUUGGGUUCCAGGUUAUGGGGAUUAGUUUGGUGUCCUUUUCAGUUCUUCGCCACUCCACCAGAGGGAUCCAUUGGAUCAGUCUGCUGGGGAGGGCGUGCCUGCAGGCUCUCAACUAUCCACACCUGAGAGGAAUCAUCAUCCAGAGGAGUAUAUGAGCAGCAGACAGCCAACACUUCUUUGCCAGAGUGUUUGCCAGUUUUUGGAAUCCUUCAAGGCCCUUGGGGUUGGUUUCCUCUAGUCCACCGGUCCUGAAAGAAACCUUUCCGUGACGCCUCUGCUGUCUGCUUUGCUGCUCCUCUGUGGUGACAUAUCUGACCAGCCCACCCUCCUACGCCUGGUCCAUCUCCAGCCAGCCUACGUCAGCUCUCUCCCCAAUCUGGAACCACGUACCUCCACCCGUCAUCCUCCGUUUGUUUUUCAAACGCACCUGGACUCCGACCCGCUGAUCCUGUUUCUUUGUUUGAAUUUGUAUUGUUGCAAUAAAUAUCCUCUUUUACAUCCAU